ensembl:lncRNA
ACAAUUAUAGCAUGUUAGCAAAGUGUGACUGGAACAUUUUUAAUCUUAAGUUUUUAAAAAACACCACCUGUUUUUCUUAAAUAAAAGCAUACAAUGUUUAUAAAAGUGGUUUACAUUAUUUCAUUGUUUUGUAAAUGUUGUGUUAUAAAUUGUGGAUUGAUAGUUGAUUGGUUUGAAGCAAGGCCUUACACUGCACAGACUAAAACACAUUUGUGAGAAGUCAUGAACUUCGGAGAAAGAUUCUAGAGGAAAAAGACACAUUUACUGCAACAAUAGAUGAAUUCUAGAGGCAAAAACUUCAGUCACAUGCUAAGGGGUGUCUCAAGAGCAAGUCCUUUGCCUCUGUAACGUUUUCUUAAUUCUUGCAUAAUGAAAUUGUUUAUUGCAGUAUUUUAACAAUUUUACUUUGUACAGAUGAUCUCAUCAGCCAAAUGAGGGGUUUUGACCAAGUGAUGGUCUUGAAAGGAAUGAAAGAAGAGGAUGUGGUAAAUUGUCUUCAAAGAAAAAGCUUCUCAAAAGGUCUUAAAACAGCUUGAAGAAUGGUCUGGGAACUGUCUGAAAAUGGGAUGUUAGGACUGAGAGAUCCUCUGGCUGAGAAAAAGCUACACCAGAUCAGUGCUGGAUAUCAACCACACACUGUUUACAGACACGAGAAGAUCACGAUGGGGAAAUGAAACCAGUUUAGAUGUGAUGAUAAGGAAUCAUUAUUUUCUGAAACAGUAUCACAUGUCUUAUAUGUAUCACAUGAUCUGUAUCACAGUUGCCUGGAUGGGAUUGUGUGACUUUUAAGGACAUUUCAUUACUCAUCUGUGUGAACUGAUUAAUUUAUGAUUUUAAUGAAUUUUUGAUGAUCCAUUAUUAUUUUCCUUGAAUCUUAUUUGUCUUGAUGCUACUUUAUCAACUUUAUAGUCUAUGCUUCAAUAAAAUUAAUAUGAUGAAUAUUGUGUAUUGAAAAUUUUUGGUAAAUACAUAAUUUUACUAGGUAGGCUCAUAUGUGUUUAUUUUAUACUUGGAAAAACUACGUUAUUAAUUACCGGAAUUAUUUUUACUUAAGACAUAAACAUUUUUGAUCAGAUUAAUGACAUCUGGAACAACAAUACACCAGAAAGUUAUUAUUGUAUAUAUUUAGUAACAAAUAUGCCAUUUUUUGGUGAAAUAAAGGGAGUUACAAGAUGAAUUAUUUUGCAUUAAAAGAUGGUGCCAUUUGCUUUAUUGUUACAAACACUUGAGGGAUAACUGAGAAUGUAGCAGGAAUAAUCAACGUGGACCUUGUACUGCAUUAAAACCAAGAGCAUUCACAUUACUGAUGUCCAGCACCUGAGGAGCAAGAUAAGGGGGUGAGGACGACAUUUUUUACACUGAUUUUUGCUAAUUAGUUUAUAUAUAUAUAUAUAUAUAUAUAUAUAUAUAUAUAU